rnacentral:rRNA from 1 species
AGAGUUUGAUCAUGGCUCAGAUUGAACGCUGGCGGAAUGCUUUACACAUGCAAGUCGAACGGCAGCACGGGGCAACCUGGUGGCGAGUGGCGAACGGGUGAGUAAUACAUCGGAACGUGCCCAAUCGUGGGGGAUAACGUAGCGAAAGUUACGCUAAUACCGCAUACGAUCUACGGAUGAAAGCGGGGGAUCGCAAGACCUCGCGCGAAUGGAGCGGCCGAUGUCAGAUUAGGUAGUUGGUGGGGUAAAGGCUCACCAAGCCAACGAUCUGUAGCUGGUCUGAGAGGACGACCAGCCACACUGGAACUGAGACACGGUCCAGACUCCUACGGGAGGCAGCAGUGGGGAAUUUUGGACAAUGGGCGCAAGCCUGAUCCAGCCAUUCCGCGUGCAGGAUGAAGGCCUUCGGGUUGUAAACUGCUUUUGUACGGAACGAAAAGGUCUGCCCUAAUACGGUGGGCUAAUGACGGUACCGUAAGAAUAAGCACCGGCUAACUACGUG